rnacentral:misc_RNA from 1 species
UUUUGCAUUCUUAGGAGACUUAAUCUAAGUCAUUGCGGUCUUACGGAUGCAAUGAUUCCUUAUGAUCUAAGUUGUUUCCCAUUUUUACAACAUCUAGAUCUAAGCGGAAAUGAUUUUGUAAGCAUGCCUGAAAGCAUUAGUCAACUCUCUAAACUCUUAGCUGUUCGUUUUAGCAAUUGUAAGAGGAUUCGAUCAUUUCCAAAUAAUCUUCCUUCGGGUCUCAAACAUCUUAGCAUGGAGGGUUGCUCUUUCUUGGAAACUUCACUAACUACAAGCAUAAGUAGAAAUUUUAAACUUGAAAACCUUCACUUCGUUGAUUGCAAGAAGCUUCAGUCCUUGCGUGAUCUUUCAUCAACCGUUUUACAACUUAGUGCGGAAUGUCUAACUACACAGGA